GACGAACGCUGGCGGCGUGCUUAACACAUGCAAGUCGAACGGAAAGGCCUGCUUUCCCUUGUGGAUUGCGGGUACUCGCGUGGCGAACGGGUGAGUAACACGUGAGUGAUCUGCCCCCAACUUGGGAAUAAGCCUGGGAAACUGGGUCUAAUUCCCGAUAGGACUGCAGGGUGGUGCCUGUGGUGGAACACGAUUUUCUAGUGGUUGGGGAUGAGCUCGCGGCCUAUCAGCUUGUUGGUGGGGUAAUGGCCUACCAAGGCGGCGACGGGUAGCCGGCCUGAGAGGGUGGACGGCCACAUUGGGACUGAGAUACGGCCCAGACUCCUACGGGAGGCAGCAGUGGGGAAUAUUGCACAAUGGGCGGAAGCCUGAUGCAGCGACGCCGCGGGGGGGAUGACGGCCUUCGGGUUGUAAACUCCUUUCGACCGCGAGGAAGCCACCUGGUUGGAAGGGUGGUGACGGUAGUGGUAGAAGAAGCACCGGCUAACUACGUG
rnacentral:rRNA from 1 species